rnacentral:snRNA from 1 species
GGAUGUGAGGGCGAUCUGGCUGUAACAUCUGUCACCCCAUGGAUUGCUAGGUUUGAUUCAGCUGAUCUGGCUGGCUAGAGGGGUGUUCUUGCCCUCUCUCAAUGCAUCCCUUUCCAAAGCUGUGAACUCAGUCGAAGAAGACAUCCACCCUAGAUAGAAGACUGUUCCUUGGUCAAGGGUAUACCAGUAGCUGUGUUCCUCUGCUAGAACCUCCAAACAAGCGCUGAAGAGUGUAGUCCCAAGGUGCGUUCAUUUACCUAGAAAUGUCUCAAGUGUAUCCUU